rnacentral:rRNA from 1 species
AGUGAACGCUGGCGGUAGGCCUAACACAUGCAAGUCGAACGGCAGCACAGUAAGAGCUUGCUCUUACGGGUGGCGAGUGGCGGACGGGUGAGGAAUACAUCGGAAUCUACUUUUUCGUGGGGGAUAACGUAGGGAAACUUACGCUAAUACCGCAUACGACCUACGGGUGAAGGCAGGGGAUCUUCGGACCUUGCGCGAUUGAAUGAGCCGAUGUCGGAUUAGCUAGUUGGCGGGGUAAAGGCCCACCAAGGCGACGAUCCGUAGCUGGUCUGAGAGGAUGAUCAGCCACACUUGAACUGAGACACGGUCCAGACUCCUACGGGAGGCAGCAGUGGGGAAUAUUGGACAAUGGUCGCAAGCCUGAUCCAGCCAUACCGCGUGGGUGAAGAAGGCCUUCGGGUUGUAAAGCCCUUUUGUUGGGAAAGAAAAGCAGCAGGUUAAUACCCCGCUGUUCUGACGGUACCCAAAGAAUAAGCACCGGCUAACUUCGUG